ensembl:snRNA U6 U6 spliceosomal RNA
GUGCUCAUGUUGGCAGCACAUAUGCUAAAAUUGGAAUGAUACAGAGAUUAGCAUGGCCCCUGUGCAAGGAUGACAUGCACAUUUGUGAAGCGAAAGUAAAACAUUCUA